GACGAACGCUGGCGGCGUGCUUAACACAUGCAAGUCGAACGGAAAGGCCCUGCUUUUGUGGGGUGCUCGAGUGGCGAACGGGUGAGUAACACGUGAGUAACCUGCCCUUGACUUUGGGAUAACUUCAGGAAACUGGGGCUAAUACCGGAUAGGAGCUCCUGCUGCAUGGUGGGGGUUGGAAAGUUUCGGCGGUUGGGGAUGGACUCGCGGCUUAUCAGCUUUUUGGUGGGGUAGUGGCUUACCAAGGCUUUGACGGGUAGCCGGCCUGAGAGGGUGACCGGCCACAUUGGGACUGAGAUACGGCCCAGACUCCUACGGGAGGCAGCAGUGGGAAAUAUUGCACAAUGGGCGGAAGCCUGAUGCAGCAACGCCGCGUGCGGGAUGACGGCCUUCGGGUUGUAAACCGCUUUCGCCUGUGACGAAGCGUGAGUGACGGUAAUGGGUAAAGAAGCACCGGCUAACUACGUG
rnacentral:rRNA from 1 species